GACGAACGCUGGCGGCGUGCCUAAUACAUGCAAGUCGAACGAAUCUUGAUUGAGAGCUUGCUCUCAAUCUUGGUUAGUGGCGGACGGGUGAGUAACACGUAGGUAACCUGCCCUUAAGAUCGGGAUAACAUUCGGAAACGGAUGCUAAGACCGGAUAAACAACUUGGUCGCAUGGCUGAGUUGGGAAACACGGUGNAAGCUGUGGCUUAAGGAUGGGCCUGCGGCGCAUUAGCUAGUUGGUGGGGUAACGGCUCACCAAGGCGACGAUGCGUAGCCGACCUGAGAGGGUGAACGGCCACACUGGGACUGAGACACGGCCCAGACUCCUACGGGAGGCAGCAGUAGGGAAUCUUCCACAAUGGGCGAAAGCCUGAUGGAGCAACGCCGCGUGAGUGAGGAAGGCUUUCGGGUCGUAAAGCUCUGUUGCCAGGGAAGAAUAAGAGUGAGAGUAACUGCUCACUCGAUGACGGUACCUGAGAAGAAAGCCCCGGCUAACUACGUGCCAGCAGCCGCGGUAAUACGUAGGGGGCAAGCGUUGUCCGGAUUUAUUGGGCGUAAAGCGCGCGCAGGCGGUUCUUUAAGUCUGGUGUCUAAGUGCGGGGCUCAACCCCGUGAUGCACUGGAAACUGGGGAACUUGAGUGCAGAAGAGGAGAGCGGAAUUCCACGUGUAGCGGUGAAAUGCGUAGAGAUGUGGAGGAACACCAGUGGCGAAGGCGGCUCUCUGGACUGUAACUGAC
rnacentral:rRNA from 1 species